AGCGAUGUUUCAUGCGUUUGUUCGUACUAUGUAAGUGUGAAUGGACGCAUGAAGCAUCUAGCAUUGAUGUCGAUUGUUGCAUCGCUGGCAUCGGGUGUCGAGGCGGGUGAUGCGUUCUGUGUGGGAGAGCAUCGCUUACUUCCCUCCCUGUGUGUCGAGGCGGGCGAUGCGUUCUGUGUGGGAGGGCAUCGCUUGUUUCCCUCCCUGUGGUGGAGCAUCGUUUCGCCCGUACUGCGUGGUGGACUUGCGCAGGUGGCGAUCUUUCGGACUGGCUUUUUUCUAUGUUCGGUUGUUUGUGAGACACUCUGUAUACAG
rnacentral:lncRNA from 1 species